GACGAACGCUGGCGGUGUGCUUAACACAUGCAAGUGGUGCGACGAACCAGAGCUUGCUCUGGGGCAAAGCCGCGAACGGGUGAGUAACACGUGGGUAAUCUACCCCGAUGACCGGGACAACCCGAGGAAACUCGGGCUAAUACCGGAUGUGGUACGGAGACAUAAGUCUCUUUACUAAAGGUAGCUUCGGCUUCCGCAUUGGGAGGGGCCCGCGGCCCAUUAGCUAGUUGGUGGGGUCAAGGCCUACCAAGGCAACGAUGGGUAGCUGGUCUGAGAGGACGAUCAGCCACACUGGGACUGAGACACGGCCCAGACUCCUACGGGAGGCAGCAGUGGGGAAUCUUGCGCAAUGCGCGAAAGCGUGACGCAGCAACACCGCGUGAGGGAAGACGGCCUUAGGGUUGUAAACCUCUUUCAGAUGGGACGAAGGUGAUGCGGUGAAUAGCCGAUGUCAUUGACGGUACCGUCAGAAGAAGGCUACCGGGCUAACUACGUGCCAGCAG
rnacentral:rRNA from 1 species